AGGGAGGGAGGAGGUCCGACACGAGUUGACACGAGCACGCGACCAACAAAAAACUCGACCGAGUGCUCCUACUCUUAAUUAUCUUGUUAGUCGUGCCCACUACUCCUCCGAGCCAGCCACCCAAUUCUCUUCUCUUUCACACUUGACACGAGAUCCGUUUCCAAUCGAGAUCGAUCCACCUCGAUCUUUCCUUUUAUUUGUAUCGAUACCUAUUGCUAUUAUUCUCUAUAGAAAGGAAUUUUAAUUAUCAACGAGUUUUUCGUACACGCUUACGGAAAAAUGGAGAAGAAUUUUAACCGAUGCGCGAGUGAUCCGAGCAAUAUGGGUAUUCCGUCGUCUUUUAAAACGCGUAACAACAAGGUCCGCAUGUCGAAAUAGCCGCGUUAUUAAACGAUUGCCUCAAUUCAAAGGCAAAUUAACGGACAACGGGCUUAAGUCGACUGCUUGCUAACAUGCAAACGGCCCCGUCCAAUUGAGGACCACCCAAACUGCCCCUUUUAUCUCGAGACGAUUCGUAUCCCGAUCCUAUUCAUCGACCGUUCCAGAAUGAGCGGCCACUUGGCAACCGGGCCAUUCCCUCUCCCUCUCCCUCCGUUUCUCUCUCUCUCUUUCUUUCUUUUCGAUUUCGAAACACCAGUCGAACCGUUUAUGCGAUAUUUCGAAUUGUUUUCGAUACACGUACGAUCAGAAGAUUUUGUUUGAAGAUUUAAUUGUAACAGUUACGAAAAAAUCCUUUCGAUUCGAGAGAAUGAGUGGAGGGGGAAAAGUGGAAAAGUGGAAAGUGCUGGCAAGACGGCGGCUCACGAUAGAGGCAACUGUAAGGCGCGUUACGAUUAUGAGGGUGUUUAACGCGCGUUCGCUCGACUUGAAUUAUUCUCACGAGGUCGAUAAACCUUCACUGAGAAUGGUUGGUUUAAUUAAAAGAGCCACGCAUGCGGGAUCGACCUAAAAACGACAUACUUGGACAUCUUGGACGACGAAUAAAUAUGCAAACUGAUAUGGCGGAGGUUUAACGUCUCUUUCGGUGACGAACUGGCUUCGAAGAGAGAAUCCGACGAAAUCGAAGACGAUUUUAGGAGUAUUCCCGUGUAACCUGCCAGAGGUUCGAGGAUCCGUCUCGACUCUGCCAACUCCCCAGAGCCCGUUCUUCUUUUACUUUUCCCAAAUAAAACGACAGCUAAUCGAUAGUCCGUCAAGUUCCUUUCUUUUUGUCUUCUAUUUUAGACGAUGAUUUUUCUCCCCCCUUUUUUUUUAUCCGCACCAGAUAUUCGCCCGCGAAGAUUUUCUUUCAUUUUUCGAAAGUUUUCUUAAUUAAAUCGUCGCUCUUAAAUUUUCCGAUCUUUUCAAAUUUAUUUUCAUCGUUCGUUUAAUUUUACGAAACUUUAUUGUUCUCCUUCUUUCUUUUCUUUUUCUCGACACAUUUUCAAUCGAAUAACGUGAAAAAAAUUCUUACGUGUCGCAUCAAACAAACUUUUCUUUAAGUCUGAUCACUACCAAAAUCUAAAUUCAAAAAAUUAUUUAAAUAUAAUUUCUUUAUUUAUCAUAGAUUAGAUUAUUACUUUAUAAAUUCACCUAAUCCAAAAAAACUCCAAUUAUCCGAAUAUCUGAUAUUCAUCAAAAUAGAUAAAAUAUCUAUACUCAACUGUCAUCGGAUUUUGCUUUAUCAUCGAUCAAGGAUUAUCACGCGAAGAGAAUCAAUCUAUCUAUAUUCGAAAAUUUACAUUCACCUGCCGUCGAGACAUUUACUUUAUCAAAGAUCACCUUCAAUCAAGGGGAGGGGAAGAGAGGGGAGGAAAAUCAGUGGUGCGCGAAAAUCGGCGACAAGGGUGUACAACGCAUACAGGGAAGACAGGAGGAGGAGGAGAAGAAGAAGAAGAAGAAGCGUGGCAAGAGGAGCGAGAAAGGUGAAAGAAGGCAAGGAAGGAAAGGUUGGCCGGCUGUGGCAAGGCGGAGCGUGGAGGUGGCGGGGGCGGAGCGAGGCGAGUUUCAGAGGCGUGAUGUAUCGACGGAAUUUCAAAGUAAAAAAGACGCGAGGUUCGGGACGAGGUACACGUCUUCCCCGUGGAGAAAUUGCACAGGAUACUUCGGCCGAACGUGAGCGUGUCUCCUUCUCGAGUUAUCCCCCAGCUGCUCCUUUUCACUCCUCACCUUCGUUUCCCUUUUCUCGUUUUCGUUUUCGUUCUCGAAAUCGAUUUUCGUGAUCGCUCGCGAAGUAAAUCGAUCGUGGUCGAUUGUAGUGUACUCGGGAGAGGAGGGAGGAGAGUAAGAGAAGUAAGAGUGGGGGAGUAGGGAAUAAGAUUACGAUGCGCGCCAUCUAUCGGAACAGAGAAAUCGAGGGAGUGAAAAUGUUGUGGCGUGAACAGAGAGAGAGUGGAAAAAUACUGUAAAUGAUUUAUCGAAGGACGAAAUCGGUGAAUGAAUAAUGUGAUCGAAAAUGGGAUCGAUGGUAAAAUCGGUGGAUAGUGGAUCGAAUUAUCGAGGAGUGAAGUAAUUUUCCUUCUCUUCUCGCGGGAGAGAGAGAGAGAGAUAAGGGACUGGAUGCAUAAUCAACGGUGGAGAAUCACUACGAUUUAAGAAAUUUUCGAAAUUUCGAUCGAUGGUAAUCGAUACAAGGAGAGAGAGAGAGAGAUAAAAGCGAUGCAUAAUCCAUCGGAAGGGAUGAGAAAUCGACGGUGAAGGGUGUGAUGGCGCGGAGCAAGUGGAGAGAAGCGUAAGGGUAAGGGAGGAUGAGGGUGGAGGAAGGAGAAUGGGGACGAGAACCGCGAUCCAUCAAGAAGACACAAGGGUUUGGGGUGAUGUAUCCGAGGAUAGGUUGACCUCUGCGCCGGACACUAUAAAAUCACUCUUAAACAUUCCUUCCUAAAGCGAUCGUGAGCUUUGGAACGAAACUGGACUGGGCUGCCUCCUCUCCAAUUUUCGAAUUUUUCCUCCAUCUCUUACGAUCAAUUUAUUAUCCGCGAUUGCGAGAUAAUUAAAUUGGAAAACUAAUUGGAUAAGCUAGGAAAGUGUCGUAACGCUCGAAACUUUGAUGUUUGGAAAUGCUGAAAUAUAUGAAUGAAAAUACGAAAAAAAUAUAUCAUUAUAUCACAUAUUA